AUUGAAACACUGGUCCUCAUAUGAUCACCAAAGUUAAGCAAAAUCCAGCCUGGUCAGUACCUAGAUAGGUGACUGCUUGGGAAUACCAGCUGCUGUAAG